UACAGAGGUCUCAAGCGUUGUUCGGAUUCAUUGGGCGUAAAGGGUGCGUAGGUGGCGCGCUAAGUCAGGUGUGAAAUUUCGGAGCUUAACUCCGAAACUGCAUUUGAUACUGGCGUGCUUGAGGACUGGAGAGGAGACUGGAAUUCAUGGUGUAGCAGUGAAAUGCGUAGAGAUCAUGAGGAAGACCAGUGGCGAAGGCGGGUCUCUGGACAGUUCCUGACACUGAGGCACGGAAGGCCCAGGGGAGCAAACGGG
rnacentral:rRNA from 1 species